rnacentral:rRNA from 1 species
GAUGAACGCUGGCGGCGUGCUUAAUACAUGCAAGUCGAACGGAGAUAAUAGCAAUAUUAUUUUAGUGGCGAACGGGUGAGUAACGCGUUGGUGACCUGCCCCGAAGAGAGGGAUAACAGUCCGAAAGGAUUGCUAAUACCCCAUGUGGUUGUUUGGAUUAGAUGCCUUUCAACUAAACGGAUUUAUUCGCUUCGGGAGGGGCCUGCGUCCCAUCAGCUAGUUGGUAGGGUAAUGGCCUACCAAGGCAAUGACGGGUAGGGGACCUGAGAGGGUGGCCCCCCACAAUGGAACUGAAACACGGUCCAUACACCUACGGGUGGCAGCAGUAGGGAAUAUUGGUUAAUCUGCGAAAGCGGGAACCAGCAACGCCGCGUGCACGAUGAAGGCCUUCGGGUUGUAAAGUGCUUUUUGAGAGGAUGAGGAAGGACAGUACUCUUAGAAUAAGCUUCGGCUAACUACGUG